rnacentral:rRNA from 1 species
GAUGAACGCUGGCGGCGUGCCUAAUACAUGCAAGUCGAGCGGAAGGACGCGAAGCUUGCUUUUCUGAUGUUUGCGGCGGACGGGAGUGUCACACGUGGAUCCUCUACCUAUAUGACUGAGAUCACUUCGAGAAACCGGCGCUUACACCGGAUAAUCUUUUGCACCAUAUGGUUCGAAGGAGAAAGACGGCCUUGCUGUCUCUUAUCGCUGGAUACGCGCUGCAUUAGCUAGUUGGUAAGGUAACGGCUUACCAAGGCAACGAUGCAUAGCCGACCUGUGAGAGUGGUCGGCCACACUGGAGCGGAGACACGGUCCAUACUCCUACGAGAGGCAGCAGUAGGGAAUCGUCCGCAAUGGGCGAAAGCCUGACGGAGCAACGCCGCGUGAGUGAUGAAGAUCUUCGGAGCGUAAAACUCGGUUAUUAGGUAAGAACAUAUGUGGAAUGAACUGAGCACAGCGUGACGGUACCUAAUCAGAAAGCCACGGCUAACUACGUG